UUUGAGGGAGCAAUGGUCAUCGUUUUUUGCUGCUUUUAUGUGUGGGUGCUUGAGGUUCCUCUCUCUCUCUCUCUCACUUUUUUUAUUCAAUUCAUGAUCGAAUUUCAUUUGUAUGAAUGUUGGAUCUAUUGUUUUGGCAAAUUGUGCACUUUGUUUACUUCGAUUAAUUUUUUGUGGUUUGAUUUGGUGAAUUUUUGGAAAAAUCCAAGUUCACUCCCGUACUGUUUGCAGCAUGUCAGCGAUGAUUUAAAACAUUUUACGGUGGACAAUCAAUUGGAAACAGCUUCAAAUGGGAAGUUUUCGCAAGGGACGCAUGUAAGUGGGGUUAUGCCUGAUGCUGAUGGAGAAUGCUUUUUGGAAUUCCAUUAAGGGAAAUUUUGGGUUUUAUUGAAGAAAUUUUAAACCCGGAAAGCUUGGGUUUCCUGGUGGACUAUGCCAUUUGAGAAACUAUGUACUCAAACGCUCUCAACGAAUACCCGCUUUCUCCCUCUCUCUCUCUCUCAUGAUAAUUGAUGCGGAGUACCAGACCCAGAGAAGGUAAGAAUCUAGACUUCCCAAACUUGGCCUCCCUUAUCGGCCGUGGAGUAUCAACCGGUACACUUGAGCUUCCCAAACUAUGUUGAAAUAUUUGAGAAAUGCAGAGUAAACAAAAAAGAAAAGGAAUUUUAGAGAGAGUGAUAUAAUAGUUGCUCUGUAAUUGUAUGAAUGAAUUAACUAUUCAACAGAGAGAUAGUUAACAAUUUAUACAACAACUAAUCACCUUGCUUAGCAGCUCAGUAUCAUGGCACAUACUUAACAGACUAACAAACAUUAACAAUCUCUAAACUGAUCUGCUGAGC